CAAUUCUAUUCAUCUGCUGAAGCUUGGCAAUAACUCCAUAUCAAGAGUGGUUGAGCAGAGAGGCUGUUCACGCUGCGUGCUUUUGUUAACAUCAGUUUUGAGAUCUACAGAUGAUCUGAAUACAGGCUUUUGCUUCAGAAGCCACCAGUUUCUGGUUAGUCUAAAUGCUACUCACAGUGCCCCAAGGCUUGAGUUCCUCCUGGACCAGAGUUGGCCCAUGGGGACCUGAAGUCCACUCAGGCUCACUGAGAUGUGGAAAGAAGUGCCCCCGUGACAGAGCAAAGCAUCUCCCUCCAGGGGUCUCAGGAGAGACACUGUGGACCACCGACACAGCAUGGAAAAUGUGGAGGUUUGCAGGGUGAACCCAAACAGAAGUGAAGAGGUCACUUGGAGCAUACAAGAUCGAACCCAAAGAACCAGGGGAUCUUCCCAGUGCAGGGAUCAAGCCUGGAGCUGUGUCUGGAGCUGUGACAGCCAUUCGAUAAUCAUGGAGCUACAGGUGAGUCUAUGGACAAAAAGCCAAACAGCUGAGGAGAGCUGUGCAGAAGGAUGGAGAAAGGCUGAAUCCUUCAAACCAUCAGGGAGACACCCGACUCCACACCACUGCAGAGUCCACAACGUUGAUGAGUUUUCCCACAGUUGAAAGCUGCCCAGCACCCACUGGGGGUGAAGCACUGAAAUAAAAUAAGGAAAAUUUAGUCUUUAUAAAACCUGGAAGUGAUAACUUCUCAAGAAACCUACCAUGUAACCCCUUGGAGAAGAUGCUUAGGUUCUAAGAAGAUAAUUAUUUGUGUUAGGCUGCCUCUGAAGGCAAGAAACGGAAACUCCAGCUUCAGUGAACAUAAGAAAUGAGCUCCAGGAUCAGCAGAUUUGGGUGCUCAACGUCAUCAGGAACCCGGGCUCCUCAUCUCUCCUCUGCUCAGCCAUUCUUCAGAUGGGCUUCAUCGCGAGACUGUUGGCAAGAUAGGGGCGCACUUACAUGGGGCACACCCAGACACAAUAUACAUGCUCUGCCCGUCUUCCCAUUGUCCCUCAGACCUGGCGUUCAGUUGUCUUCUCCUUGUCCUCUCCCUCCAGCUGCAUCUGCUCGCACUUCUUCACACAUCCAGUGGACUCUGGCCUCGGGGCCUCUGCACUUGCGGUCCCCUCGACCUACAGUGUCCACCUGGCUCCCUCAUCUCUCCUUCAGGCCUAGCAGGAUGAGUGUUCCAUGAAUACCUUGGAGAAAAGACGGGCCGAGACGGACAACAUCCAAACGAAGAAGUCGGGGAGGAAAGAUGUUUUCAAAGAUGGCGUCCCCAUGUCGCGCACCCCCACCCAAGCCUUCCCCCAUGCAUAUCUUAUCCAGAUUCUUUUUAUGUGGGGCUUCAACCAGUAACCAGCAAGGAGAAGGGACUUUCUUCGGCUCCUCGAACUACAGCCCAAUCCAUGCCUCACUUCGCCGGACUCUGGUUUCCACGCCCAUCUGCGCUCCACCACGGUUAUCAACGUUUCCAAGUCCAGUGGGGCCUCUAGGUUCUUAUCAGCUUACCACCGCAGCCCCCUCUCCAGCCCCAAUUCUCUGGGUAUCUGGCUCACUUCAAAGUCAUUGUACUAUAAGGACCCCCAUCAAUGCCAGCGUCACGUCCUGUUCUCCACCCGUUUCCAAUUUCUUCUUCUGGGAAAUAAGCUCCAAGCCUUGAACAACUGAAGCAGGUUUGCUGUGAAACCCUGAGGGCUUCGAAAUCACACUAACCGCAGCCAGAAACCAGGUCCCCGAGCUAGGUUGUGGGCGCGGGGUGGCGCCGACCUGGCCGCGCUCCCUGGAGAGAGAAGUCUCCACUGCCCCUUGUCCCCCUGCCC
ensembl:lncRNA